rnacentral:rRNA from 1 species
GACGAACGCUGGCGGCGUGCUUAACACAUGCAAGUCGAACGGUAAGGCCCUUCGGGGUACACGAGUGGCGAACGGGUGAGUAACACGUGGGUGAUCUGCCCUGCACUUCGGGAUAAGCCUGGGAAACUGGGUCUAAUACCGGAUAGGACCCUGGGAUGCAUGUCCUGGGGUGGAAAGCUUUUGCGGUGUGGGAUGGGCCCGGGGCCUAUCAGCUUGUUGGUGGGGUGAUGGCCUACCAAGGCGACGACGGGUAGCCGGCCUGAGAGGGUGACCGGCCACACUGGGACUGAGAUACGGCCCAGACUCCUACGGGAGGCAGCAGUGGGGAAUAUUGCACAAUGGGCGCAAGCCUGAUGCAGCGACGCCGCGUGAGGGAUGACAGCCUUCGGGUUGUAAACCUCUUUCAGCACCGACGAAGCGCAAGUGACGGUAGGUGCAGAAGAAGGACCGGCCAACUACGUGCCAGCAGCCGCCGUAA